GCGGGGGUUGCCGAGUUUGGUCAAAGGCGCAGGGCUUAGGACCCUGUCUUGUAGAAGUCCGUGGGUUCAAAUCCCAUCCCCCGCA
rnacentral:tRNA from 1 species